UACGGGGGGGGCAAGCGUUGUUCGGAAUUACUGGGCGUAAAGGGCUCGUAGGCGGCCAACUAAGUCGGACGUGAAAUCCCUCGGCUUAACCGGGGAACUGCGUCCGAUACUGGAUGGCUUGAGUUCGGGAGAGGGAUGCGGAAUUCCAGGUGUAGCGGUGAAAUGCGUAGAUAUCUGGAGGAACACCGGUGGCGAAGGCGGCAUCCUGGACCGGCAUUGACGCUGAGGAGCGAAAGCCAGGGGAGCGAACGGG
rnacentral:rRNA from 1 species